rnacentral:rRNA from 1 species
CGGACCAGCGCACGGGUGCGUAACGCGUAUGCAACCUACCUUUAACAGGGGGAUAACACUGAGAAAUUGGUACUAAUACCCCAUAAUAUCAUAGAAGGCAUCUUUUAUGGUUGAAAAUUCCGAUGGUUAGAGAUGGGCAUGCGUUGUAUUAGCUAGUUGGUGGGGUAACGGCUCACCAAGGCGACGAUACAUAGGGGGACUGAGAGGUUAACCCCCCACACUGGUACUGAGACACGGACCAG